CCUACGGGAGGCAGCAGUGGGGAAUAUUGCACAAUGGACGAAAGUCUGAUGGAGCAACGCCGCGUGAGUGAAGAAGGUUUUCGGAUCGUAAAACUCUGUUGUUGGAGAAGAAUGUAUCUGAUAGUAACUGAUCAGGUAGUGACGGUAUCCAACCAGAAAGCCACGGCUAACUACGUGCCAGCAGCCGCGGUAAUACGUAGGUGGCAAGCGUUGUCCGGAUUUAUUGGGCGUAAAGCGAGCGCAGGCGGUUUCUUAAGUCUGAUGUGAAAGCCUUCGGCUCAACCGAAGAAGUGCAUCGGAAACUGGGAAACUUGAGUGCAGAAGAGGACAGUGGAAUUCCAUGUGUAGCGGUGAAAUGCGUAGAUAUAUGGAAGAACACCAGUGGCGAAGGCGGCUGUCUGGUCUGUAACUGACGCUGAGGCUC
rnacentral:rRNA from 1 species